GCAGACACAUUGCAGCCAAUCAGCAGCAGACCCUCCCUCCCAGAUCCUCCCACCUCCUGGACAGCAUCCAUUUUGAAGCUGCAUUCUUAGUGAGCUGUCCAGGAAGUGGGAGGGUCUGGGAGGGAGGGUCUGCUGCUGAUUGGCUGGAAUGUGUCU
rnacentral:miRNA from 1 species